rnacentral:rRNA from 1 species
AGUGAACGCUGGCGGUAGGCCUAACACAUGCAAGUCGAACGGCAGCACAGAGGAGCUUGCUCCUUGGGUGGCGAGUGGCGGACGGGUGAGGAAUACAUCGGAAUCUACUUUUUCGUGGGGGAUAACGUAGGGAAACUUACGCUAAUACCGCAUACGACCUACGGGUGAAAGCAGGGGACCUUCGGGCCUUGCGCGAUUGAAUGAGCCGAUGUCGGAUUAGGUAGUUGGCGGGGUAAAGGCCCACCAAGGCGACGGACCGUAACUGGUCUGAGAGGAUGAUCAGCCACACUGGGACUUGGACUCGGUCAAGACUCCUACGGGAGGCAGCAGUGGGGAAUAUUGGACAAUGGGCGCAAGCCUGAUCCAGCCAUACCGCGUGGGUGAAGAAGGCCUUCGGGUUGUAAAGCCCUUUUGUUGGGAAAGAAAUCCAGCCGGCUAAUACCUGGUUGGGAUGACGGUACCCAAAGAAUAAGCACCGGCUAACUUCGUGCCAGCCGCCGCGGUAA